rnacentral:rRNA from 1 species
UGAUGAACGCUGGCGGCGUGCCUAAUACAUGCAAGUCGAACGAGUUCUCGUUGAUGAUCGGUGCUUGCACCGAGAUUCAACAUAGAACGAGUGGCGGACGGGUGAGUAACACGUGGGUAACCUGCCCUUAAGUGGGGGAUAACAUUUGGAAACAGAUGCUAAUACCGCAUAGAUCCAAGAACCGCAUGGUUCUUGGCUGAAAGAUGGCGUAAGCUAUCGCUUUUGGAUGGACCCGCGGCGUAUUAGCUAGUUGGUGAGGUAAUGGCUCACCAAGGCGAUGAUACGUAGCCGAACUGAGAGGUUGAUCGGCCACAUUGGGACUGAGACACGGCCCAAACUCCUACGGGAGGCAGCAGUAGGGAAUCUUCCACAAUGGACGCAAGUCUGAUGGAGCAACGCCGCGUGAGUGAAGAAGGCUUUCGGGUCGUAAAACUCUGUUGUUGGAGAAGAAUGGUCGGCAGAGUAACUGUUGUCGGCGUGACGGUAUCCAACCAGAAAGCCACGGCUAACUACGUGCCAGCAGCCGCGGUAAUACGUAGGUGGCAAGCGUUAUCCGGAUUUAUUGGGCGUAAAGCGAGCGCAGGCGGUUUUUUAAGUCUGAUGUGAAAGCCCUCGGCUUAACCGAGGAAGCGCAUCGGAAACUGAGAAACUUGAGUGUAGAAGAGGACAGUGGAACUCCAUGUGUAGCGGUGAAAUGCGUAGAUAUAUGGAAGAACACCAGUGGCGAAGGCGGCUGUCUGGUCUGUAACUGACGCUGAGGCUCGAAAGCAUGGGUAGCGAACAGGAUUAGAUACCCUGGUAGUCCAUGCCGUAAACGAUGAAUGCUAGGUGUUGGAGGGUUUCCGCCCUUCAGUGCCGCAGCUAACGCAUUAAGCAUUCCGCCUGGGGAGUACGACCGCAAGGUUGAAACUCAAAGGAAUUGACGGGGGCCCGCACAAGCGGUGGAGCAUGUGGUUUAAUUCGAAGCAACGCGAAGAGCCUUACCAGGUCUUGACAUCUUUUGAUCACCUGAGAGAUCAGGUUUCCCCUUCGGGGGCAAAAUGACAGGUGGUGCAUGGUUGUCGUCAGCUCGUGUCGUGAGAUGUUGGGUUAAGUCCCGCAACGAGCGCAACCCUUAUGACUAGUUGCCAGCAUUUAGUUGGGCACUCUAGUAAGACUGCCGGUGACAAACCGGAGGAAGGUGGGGAUGACGUCAAAUCAUCAUGCCCCUUAUGACCUGGGCUACACACGUGCUACAAUGGAUGGUACAACGAGUUGCAAGACCGCGAGGUCAAGCUAAUCUCUUAAAGCCAUUCUCAGUUCGGACUGUAGGCUGCAACUCGCCUACACGAAGUCGGAAUCGCUAGUAAUCGCGGAUCAGCACGCCGCGGUGAAUACGUUCCCGGGCCUUGUACACACCGCCCGUCACACCAUGAGAGUUUGUAACACCCGAAGCCGGAGGCGUAACCCUUUUAGGGAGCGAGCCGUCUAAGG